rnacentral:tRNA from 1 species
GUCCCCGUAGCUCAGCAGGAUAGAGCCACCGCCUCCUAAGCGGUAGGUCGGAUGUUCGAAUCAUCUCGGGGACGCCA